CUUAGUCGUGUGUACAUCAUUGGGAAUGGAGGGAAAUAAAUGACUGGAUGGUCGCUGCUUUUUAAGUUUCAAAUUGACAUUCCAGACAAGCGGUGCCUGAGCCCGUGCCUGUCUUCAGAUCUUCACAGCACAGUUCCUGGGAAGGUGGAGCCACCAGCCUCUCCUUGCCCUAGCAGAUGCUAAUCCAGCGUGCGUCCUGACAGAGGUUGAAGGGGGCUUCUCAAGUCCCAGGUCCAGCUUGGUGUGGUUCAGCUACUCAAGAGACAUCUGCUGCUAAUGGAUGAGCAGUCAACCUGGACGCAGGAAAUCAUUUUUUAUUUGGGUGAAUACAAUAUUCUCCUUUUGUUUUCACUUUUCCUAAAAGUUAAAUCAAGGUUCAAAAGAAAAUCGAGGUUCAAAAGAAAAAUUUGGUCUUUACAUGUGCUAAAAAGAAAAAAACAAAAAGACUCAUUUCAUCUUUAUAUGGGAUGGGAUCCGUGCUCUGGUGGGCUACAGAGUGUGUCUCUGUGUGGGUCCCUGUACUCCGUGCGAGGUUGGCGGCCGAGCCACGGUUCCCAUGUGAGCAGGACAGCACAGUCUCACCUCACACAGAGAACCUCGCCCGAACAUGGAACUUUCACCCACGUUGCCAUUUUCCCGCUCCCUUUCCCUCCUUUGAGGUUCACACUCGUCUCUCCAAAUUAAAAUUUACAAAGAGAGGAGAUGGAGGCUCCCAAGUGGCCACAAAGUCACAUUUUAUGUGAGACCUUUUUGCCUCAUUUGCUAGUUAUUGAACAAAGGUGACUCUGAACCUAGCAGAAGCACGGGUUCAACACACAGUUCAGAAAAACAGGAACCAUCAAUUCAUAAGAACUUAAAGAAAAAAA
ensembl:lncRNA CYTOR cytoskeleton regulator RNA